rnacentral:rRNA from 1 species
ACUACGGGAGGCAGCAGUGAGGAAUAUUGGUCAAUGGACGGAAGUCUGAACCAGCCAUGCCGCGUGCAGGAAGACGGCGCUAUGAGUUGUAAACUGCUUUUGUACAAGGGUAAACCUGAAUACGUGUAUUCAGCUGAAAGUACUGUACGAAUAAGGAUCGGCUAACUCCGUGCCAGCAGCCGCGGUAAUACGGAGGAUCCAAGCGUUAUCCGGAUUUAUUGGGUUUAAAGGGUGAGUAGGCGGAUUGAUAAGUUAGAGGUGAAAUGUCCGCGCUUAACUCGGGAACUGCCUCUAAUACUGUUUAUCUAGAGCUUAGGUGCGGUAGGCGGAAUGUAUGGUGUAGCGGUGAAAUGCUUAGAGAUCAUACAGAACACCGAUUGCGAAGGCAGCUUACCAAUCUAUAUCUGACGUUGAGGCACGAAAGCGUGGGGAGCAAACAGGAUUAGAUACCCGGGUAGUC